GAUGAACGCUGGCGGCGUGCCUAAUACAUGCAAGUCGAGCGAACAGACGAGGAGCUUGCUCCUCUGACGUUAGCGGCGGACGGGUGAGUAACACGUGUAUAACCUACCUAUAAGACUGGGAUAACUUCGGGAAACCGGAGCUAAUACCGGAUAAUAUAUUGAACCGCAUGGUUCAAUAGUGAAAGACGGUUUUGCUGUCACUUAUAGAUGGAUCCGCGCCGCAUUAGCUAGUUGGUAAGGUAACGGCUUACCAAGGCAACGAUGCGUAGCCGACCUGAGAGGGUGAUCAGCCACACUGGAACUGAGACACGGUCCAGACUCCUACGGGAGGCAGCAGUAGGGAAUCUUCCGCAAUGGGCGAAAGCCUGACGGAGCAACGCCGCGUGAGUGAUGAAGGUCUUCGGAUCGUAAAACUCUGUUAUUAGGGAAGAACAAAUGUGUAAGUAACUAUGCACGUCUUGACGGUACCUAAUCAGAAAGCCACGGCUAACUACGUG
rnacentral:rRNA from 1 species